rnacentral:rRNA from 1 species
AGUCACUGACAUUAGAUACCCCCGUAGUCCAGGGUGUAAACGCUGCAGACUUGGUGUUGGAAGUCCUUUGGGGGCAUUCAGUGCCGGAGAGAAGUUGUUAAGUCUGCUACUUGGGGAGUACGUCCGCAAGGAUGAAACUUAAAGGAAUUGGCGGGGGAGCACCACAACGGGUGGAGCCUGCGGUUUAAUUGGACUCAACGCCGGAAAUCUCACCGGAUAGGACAGACAUAUGAUAGUCGGGCUGAAGACUCUACUUGAUGAUCUG